CGCGAGUCGGCGGGCUCCGGGUUCCGGCUCCCGCCAAGAGCUGUCUUUUGCAAACUAGCAAGUUCCUUCCACCUUAUGCAACCCAGCAACCCACUUCUCCAAGCCGUGCGACACUCACGGCGCAUCUCAGCGGCUUUCCUUCCUGCUCCCGCUGGGGGCCCCAGAAGAGGGGUUUGCGAGGCCUGGCUGCACUGCCCUGCUCCUCUGGAAGCAGGAGGAAGCGCGCGGCUGGAGGCACAGGCUGCAGUUCCCAGAGCCCAGGCUGACGCCAAAGUGGGAAAAAGGCGGGGAAACCAGCUUGGCGCAGCCGGACGUGCAUCCUUCCGAGCUGCCACUUCGGAGAAGCCUUUCGUGCACCUCACCUGAAAGACGGUCCCACUCGAGGUGGGCUAGGGGUUUCAGGGGGAGACUUUCCAUGCAGAGGUGCCUUUUGGGUGCCGUGGGUCAGACCCCGCCACAGUAUGGUGGAGAGCGGCCGUCGAGGUCUACCAGCACUCACUUCCCCCUACACUCUACCCCUCUCGGAGACAUUUUGCCCAGCUGCCCAACCCGACGCGGCCACCAAGCCUGGGCACUGCAGCCGCAGCUGGCGAAAUCCCUCCUUCCACACUGUCAAGCUGGCUGCCUUUCACUUGCGCGAGGAAAGGAGGGUGGAGGAAAGCGCCCGGGGAUUAGGAAACAAGUAGAGGAACAGUCCUGUUGUGUUACAGGGGAG
rnacentral:lncRNA from 1 species